rnacentral:rRNA from 1 species
CCUACGGGAGGCAGCAGCAAGGAAUAUUGUGCAAUGGGCGAAAGCCUGACACAGCGACGCCGCGUGGGGGAAGAAGGCCUUCGGGUUGUAAACCCCUUUUCUCAGGGAAGAAUAAUGACGGUACCUCAGGAAUAAGCCUCGGCUAACUACG